UGGGCAGGCUCUGGGUGCACACAGAGAUGCAUUCUAGUGUUGCUCUGCAGGAAAAGGACUAUUAGCAAAGUCUCAGUACAUUGGCAGUGUUUCCCUUAUGACUCCAGAACUGUACGUUAAGAUGCAGCUUUAAUGAUCUUGUCCUGCAAUUAUGCCUCUAGAUCACAAGUUUUUUAUUAGACCUUUUAUUUCAGCAUAAUUGGUUAUAAAGCCAUAAAUGUGAUUUUUCCAAGAGAAAUAUUUUGCAGAGAUGGCACUUUGAAUCCUCCCCCCCAAGACAUUGAUCUGUUAUUGAUCUGGGAUGAAAAUACACCACUGAUUUUACACUCAAGUAUUGAUCGAGCGAGGUCAAUUCCAGCAAGAUAUUCGGGGUACUAAAAACGUACGAGUGCACAGCUGGAAUGAGUUAUGGUACUUCCAAGCACACAAAUUCCUUUCCUUAUAAAAUCAUAGUUGAACAGCUUGCUGGAUUGCAGACUACUUGCAGGAGGGGCUUCGGCAGCUCAUGGAUUGAUUACAGGGGAAGGCUGUGAUCCCCAUUUUGCAGAAAAUAACAGAGGAUUUCUUGAAAGCAAUUUGAUGAGAAGCUGGCUGCUUACCCUAGCUCCUGUGGGCCCAGCCAGUCCCGCACAGGCACACCUGUCCAGCAACGCUCUCCAUCCCGACACACGCGCCGACAGUCAGUCUGGUCCCCACGGCACGCCGGGAUUCCCAUCUGUCUGUCUCCAUGGCUACACCGGCAGAGCAAGGAGCAUCCUACAGCACAUCCUACAGCAGCCAGGCCACCAACCCUCCGUGGUCCCUCGCCAAAGGGGACCACAUGCACGGGUGGGUCGGAGAGGGGCACGGCAGCCCCUGCUCGGGCUGAACGAGCCCCGAGCCUCGUGAGCUGCUUUUUGUUGCCCUCACAUGCUGCAAAGCGAGCUCUGCUUACUGACAACCCUGGCAGCUCUCAGGGGCGGCCGGCUCAGCAGCCUCAGCCUCCCACUCCAGCAGGAGCAGCCCCAGACCCGGUUCCUUCUUGCUUUGCACAAGGUCCUCAGGAAUCAUGCACUGCUUUUACCAGGAAAAGAACUUGCCAAAGCCUAAUAACUAGCUCUUCAACAGCAGCACAGCACAGCAAUACGCAGCACAAAAACUGUUCAAAGUCUGUUUUUUU